UCUUCGACGACUUUUUCUUCUCUGAUGCCCGUUCCUUCUCCGAAUAAAAAUCGCUGCCACCAUUGAGCUUGUCGCCUCUAUUGUGAUUUGGCGUUGGUUUUGGAAACCUUCUUCAACCUCUCUCCUUCAAAAGUCAAUCGGCAUCCUUGGCGUUGGUUUGGCAGAGAGAAAGUGAUUGAGGAAGAUCACAGAUUUCUCAUUGUUUUUCUCAUCUUCUUUUCUUUUUCUGAAUCCUUCCCAUAUUCAUCCAAAGGCAUGCUCAUCCACUUUCUGUAGAGAUGCUCGGAACAGACAAAUUUAUUAAAGUUAUUGAUUAUAUACGCCGGUCCAUUCAACGGGACACCUUGUUUGUAUUUGUCAACAGUGCAUUCUCACCGGGUCCAGAUGAGACAGUUAUUGAUCUAUAUAAUGUGAGUUGAUAUUGACUCAUUUCUUCUCUUUAUGUUCAAGUUGCGUUUGUACACUGUUUACAUUAACUUUUAGAAGAAAAAAAAAAAGAGGUGAGGGAUGUGUGUGUGUGUGUUGGGGGGAGGGUGAAUUGGUUGGAAUCUAUCUUAAAAAAAAAUCUAUUUAUUGGCCGGUCAAAGCCUGUCAUCUAAACUUAGGGGGUAUAUUCAUUGAAGGUGUAGUGUAGACUUAUGAUGUUGAUGCUGGUCAUGAAUCAUUCUUGAAAAUACCCAUCAUUGUAUAUUUUUAUGAGGUGAAGGGAAAAGGCUUGAGCAAUCAAAAUUUGAAAACUUUCUGAAGCAGGAUAUCUGUAAGAACUCUUAGAUUAUCAUGAAACAAAUAUAGCAUAAGAUCAGAUGAGUAACCUUGGAUGGACGCAAAUCACUGGAUGUAAACUAUCCACCUGAAUUUUUAUCGGUUUUCUCAGAAAGUGACAGAUUGUCAACUUCGUCACAGAGUAUGGAAGAAGUAGAGGCUGAAAUGAGGAGGCUGAAGUUGGAACUAAAGCAAACCAUGGAAAUGUAUAGCACAGCCUGCAAGGAAGCACUAACAGCCAAACAAAAGGGAGAUAUCACUAAACAAAUGACUGCAAUAGAAGAAAUGGUUGCAAGUGAGUACAAUUAGCCAGACCCUUAUCUUUGUGACAAGAUCUUGAAGAUGGUCAUUUGUGAAGCGUUCUAGUUUGCUAUUAGUUGCAAUUUUAGUUAUUGCUCUCUCAAUAUAUUCUUUUUCUUUCUUUCUUUCUUUUUUUCCAAAGGAUGAUCAGUGUAUAAUAAUUAAGCUUCAUAAUUUCUUUGUAUUUGGAGCCAAGUUGUAUAUAAAUGUACACAUUAUUAAGAUUU